CAUCAGCAGUCAAGAAUAUUAGUCAAUGCUCGCAAGAGUGAACUAGCUAACUGAAAUCAUAGGAUCCACUACGUGUGGUGAAUGUAAUAACGUAAGGGAAAAAAAUGAUAUUWCCUUACUAUUAGUGUUGUCCAAAACUGGUGCCAGAAGACUCGGUAAGGCCAGAGACGCAAACGUUAGUCGUCCUAAUCAGGCGUAAAGGGUAUGUAGGCUGUUUUAAAAGUUUUAUAUUAAUAGCUAAUGUAUAAAUAUCUAUUUAUUUCAAAUUAAAUAAAAAAAAUAUUUUAUACAUACAAAUAUAAGAUGAAUUAAAGCUAGGAUCAAAUGGAGGAUAAGUCAAAUAAUACCUAGUGUAGGGUUUAAAUCUGUUGAUGUUAGGUAGAGUACUAACGGUGAAAGCUUUUUAUCUAGAAAUGAUUGACGCUGAGAAACGAAGGUGAGAAUAGGAAAUAGGAUUAGAUMCCCAGAUACCUCUCACAGUCAACGAUGAAUGGUGGUUGUUAGUUAGUUUUAUUUA
rnacentral:rRNA from 1 species